AUUGAACGCUGGCGGCAUGCUUUACACAUGCCAGUCGAACGGCAGCGCGGGCUUCGGCCUGGCGGCGAGUGGCGCACGGGUGAGUAAUACAUCGGAACGUGCCCAGUAGAGGGGGAUAGCUCGGCGAAAGCCGGAUUAAUACCGCAUACGUCCUGAGGGUGAACGCGGGGGCUCUUCGGACCUCGCGCUAUUGGAGCGGCCGAUGGCCGACUAGCUAGUUGGUGGGGUAAAGGCCUACCAAGGCGACGAUCUGUAGCUGGUCUGAGAGGACGACCAGCGACGCGGGGAGUGAGACACGGCCCAGACUGCUACGUGAGGCAGUAGUGGGGAAGUGUGGACAAUGGGCGAGAGUCUGAUCGAGCAAGGCCGCGUGUGGGAUGACGGCCUGCGGGUUGUGAAGCACUUUUGGCGGGAACGAAAAGGACUGUGCCAAUACCACGCUUUGAUGACGGGACCCGGAGAAUAAGCGCCGGCUAACUACGUG
rnacentral:rRNA from 1 species